ensembl:snRNA U6 U6 spliceosomal RNA
GUGCUUGCUUCAGCAACACAUAUAUUAAAAUUUGAAUGAUACAGUGAAGAUUAGCAUGGCCCCUGUGCAAGCAUGACAUGCAAAUUCGUGAAGCAUUCCAUAUUUUU